AUUGAACGCUGGCGGCAUGCCUUACACAUGCAAGUCGAACGGCAGCACGGGGCAACCUGGUGGCGAGUGGCGAACGGGUGAGUAAUGCAUCGGAACGUACCUUUCAGUGGGGGAUAACGUAGCGAAAGUUACGCUAAUACCGCAUAUUCUGUGAGCAGGAAAGCAGGGGAUCGCAAGACCUUGCGCUGAUUGAGCGGCCGAUGUCAGAUUAGCUAGUUGGUGAGGUAAAGGCUCACCAAGGCGACGAUCUGUAGCGGGUCUGAGAGGAUGAUCCGCCACACUGGAACUGAGACACGGUCCAGACUCCUACGGGAGGCAGCAGUGGGGAAGUGUGGACAAUGGGGGCAACCCUGAUCCAGCCAUGCCGCGUGAGUGAAGAAGGCCUUCGGGUUGUAAAGCUCUUUCGGCCGGGAAGAAAUCGCACGGGCUAAUACCCUGUGUGGAUGACGGUACCGGAGUAAGAAGCACCGGCUAACUACGUGCCAGCAGCCGCCGUAAUAC
rnacentral:rRNA from 1 species